CCUUUGACGUUAGCGGCGGACGGGUGAGUAACACGUGGGUAACCUACCUAUAAGACUGGGAUAACUUCGGGAAACCGGAGCUAAUACCGGAUAAUAUUUCGAACCGCAUGGUUCGAUAGUGAAAGGUGGUUUUGCUAUCACUUAUAGAUGGACCCGCGCCGUAUUAGCUAGUUGGUAAGGUAACGGCUUACCAAGGCGACGAUACGUAGCCGACCUGAGAGGGUGAUCGGCCACACUGGAACUGAGACACGGUCCAGACUCCUACGGGAGGCAGCAGAA
rnacentral:rRNA from 1 species